GAGAGAAGAAUUGCCACUCAUUCACAUUCCAAUAUCCUAGCUAGGAACAAACAUCUUUCUAAUGGUAAAUGGUUUUAGGGUGAGUUGAUUUGUUACACACCCAGGCACGAACAAAGUACUGCCAUUGUGCUCGCACAGCCUCGACAUGCACAUUGGCAAACGCACUACAGGACUUAGGCCGGUUGCAAUCCACAGGCUGCAGAUCACUUCCCC
rnacentral:lncRNA from 1 species